CUUCCCACCCCGAGAUCUCCCAGAGCUCCUCGGCGCCCUGAAGGCCCCGCAGAAUGCAAAGCCUGAGGGAGAGGCUGAAAGCCAGGACUCUUCCUUCUGCCUGUCCCCCUCACAGCCUUCGGAGAUCGGGUACCUGAAUGUGGCCUCUCCUGGGGAUACCCCAGCCCCCACAGCCUCACCACUGCAGGAUGAGAGCCAGAGCCUUGGCUCCGAGAACUUCUGAGCUGGGAAUGUUGGUGCAGCCUUACCUGGACUGCAGGAUUUGGGCUCCUGGGGCAACGGGAUGACAGAGCCUGCAAAGAGAAUUGCCGAAUGGACUGACUCCAUGAUUUCUGGGAUAUAUUCCAACUGAAUGAUUCCACAGAUAAAUUGGCUGCUCCUCCCUCCUCCCCAAAGCGGGGACACCCCUUAUCAAAGAUUUGUGUCUCCAGCUGCAUCAAAGAAUUCCUGGGAACAUUUGUCUUGUGCAGCUUUUGCAGGUCCCCCCGUCCUGGGGCCGUGGUGGGAUGGACAGGAGGAGAGGAAGAAGUCGGGCAGGAGGAGCCGCAGCCACGACAGAGGUUUACCCUAGCUUCCUCCUUGCGCUGUCUCCGGACCUUGUGUACUUCCACAAAGAUGAAAUCACUAAAGUUUGGGAUUGUGUGUCUGAAUGCUAUCGCCAAGACCUGCUGCUGAAGAAGAGAGUUGGGCUGAUGGGCCUGGGUACCAUACACAUUAUGAAAAGACCCAUCUGGCAUGGAGAAGGGGAAGGCUUCAUGGUGGACAGUCUGGAGUUUGAUCUGAACAAGCCGUUGCUGGUGGGGAAGAAGCUCCUCUGUGGGAACAGCCCCGUGCCUGGGCUCUCCAAAACCAAUGAGUUGGUCUGCGCUGAGGUGUCCUUGCGCCUGCACAAGCCCAAGGCCACCAUCAUGAUGUGCAUUGAGGCCACUUUAAAGAUCUGUGUGUGGGCCUUGGCCAGUGGCCAGAACUUCGACUUUGUGUUCAAGGACAUUGGCGUCCUGGUCUGCCGGGGAAGCCACGUAGCCAUGAGGUUCUUUGAAGGCUUGAUCCGAGAGGUGGCUCAGUCGGAGCAUCUGGCAGAGGGUUUGCUCCAGUCCCCAAAUCUGAAGCCAUUAUUCAUAGACCACACAGAAGAGGACAUUUCCCAGAUUCCUCCUGGAGGUGUCCUUGUGUUGCCGCACUUUGUGCAGGCAGAUGGGAAGUCCCAGCCACAUCCUGUAAGCGCUUCCCUACUAGGCAGUGGAACCACAAGCAAAACCAACACCAAGCGCCGAACAACUCCAGGGAACCCUCCCAGCCAACACCUCCUUCUUCGUCCGCGUCUUUCUCCAAGUCGGAUAUGUGACGUGAAAGUGAAGGGAAGAGAAAAGAAAAAGGUUGAUGGUGGAGUGCAGAGAGGGAGUUUGCUGCCUCCAAUUGAGAACUCUGGGAAGAAGGGCAGAGCCACCGAGGGGAUGGAAGCACCCAAAGCUGGGCUGGCAGCUCCCACCAGGCAGGGCAGACGUGUCCAGCUUCCACCUCUGGCAGAGCAGAGGAGUCUGAGGAAGGCUGCUGCCUCCUAUCCUGGAGGAUUUGAAAGGCUAAGGAAGGAGAGAGUGGCUGCUGUAGCAGGAGUGGCUGCUGCUCUGUCCCCAGAGAGAAAGGAGGAGAAGACACCGUCCCCUCGUGGGGGGAGACCACAGCCAAGGACCCCACGAGCAAAACAGGUCCUGCUAAAUCUGAAGCCAUACAAAGUUGCCCGGGAGCAGUGCAAGAAGGCCUUGCAGAUCAACUUGUUACGGAAAUGGUCCUACGACAAUUUCCUUGCUCCUGAUUCUGAGCUUGGUGAAGCAGCUGGAGCUCCACAAACAGAGAACAGUGGAACUGAGACAUGGGGGCAGCCACCUGACACCACGGAACAAGGAAUACCACAUGACACCACGGAAAAAGAAAUAAAGACCUAGAAAUCCAUUGCCUCGGUGUGUGAAUUGUUGCUCCACACCAGGGACUGAGCCCCUGGUCGGGACAACAGUGUUUGGUGAUCCAGAUGGGACUGGUGGACCUGGACACCUCCAGUCACAGAAUCCCAGGAUGGGUGAGAUUGGAAGGGACCCCAGUGGCUCGUCUGGUCCUACCUCCCUGCUCUAGCAGGGCCAUCCCAGAGCACAUGGUACAGGAUUGUGUCUGGAUGGGUCUGAAAUAUCCCCACUGAGGAUAUUACCCUCUCUGGACCACCUGUUCAGGGCUCGGUCACUGUACAGCAAAGAAGUUCUGCCUUAUGUUCAGCUGGAAUUUCCUGGUCAUCAGUUCCUGCCUGUUCCUCUUGUCCCAUCGCCAGGCCUCCUGGAGCAGAGCCUGGUCCCUGCUCUAAGCCCUCCCUGCAGACAGGGGCAGACAGGGAUGAGGGCCCUUCUCAGCUGUGUCUCCUCCUGAGGCUGAACAGCCCCAGCUCCCUCAGCCUUUCCUGGGCAGGGAGAUGCUCCAGGCCCUUCCUCAUCUCCUCAGCCUCCACUGGCCCCGCUCCAGGAGCUCCCUGUCCCUACUGUGCUGAGGAGUCCAGAAGUGGACACAGCACUGCAGAUGUGCACUCCAGAUGUGCCUCCUGCCCUUCCUCCCUGACCAGAGGGGCAGGAGCACUCCCUCAUCUUCUGGCAGUGCUCUUCCUGACACCCUCUGCUGGCACAGGGACAGCUCAUUGUCUCCAGGACCCCCAGGUCCUUCCCCGCAGAGCUGCUCCUGCAGGUCACCCCCAGCCUCUGCUGGUGCCUGGGGUUGUUCCUCCACAGGUGCAGGACCUGCAUUUCCCUUGUUGAACUUCAGAAGGUUCUUCCCUGCCCAUCUCCCCAACCUGUUCAGGUCCCUCUGAGGGCUGCACAGCUCUCAGGGCCGUUGAGGCUGGGCCUAAGGAGGAACAAACGGGGCCAGUCCGAGGUCUUCAGUCUAUGAAAGGUGAUUUUGGCAGGGGGGAACAUGACAACUGACUGACGGCCACCAGCUCCAGAAUCCCACCAACUCCAAAGAUGGACAAGACUGAGCCUGUGGACUAAUUAGUGUGAGAAGGGAGACAAUCAUUUAACCAAUAGAAGAUAGAAUAUUAAUUAGAGAACUCUGUAACAUGUAGCCAGUGAAUGUUGAGGCCUUUGUUUGCUAAAAUGUAAAAAUAACGUAAAGCUCCAAUGAAUGGGGGAGCCAAAGUCUGUGGGAACCACUCAGGUCCUGCUGUGCACAAACUGGAAUAAAGAUAUAGAGGUCUCUCACCUCGGGGUGGGAACUGGCUCUGCACAGCAGGGAAUGAGCCUGGGAUUGGGACAACCAGACCCGCCUUCCAGCCCCAGGAUGGCCACAAGCAGGACGAGGCAGGUGGAACACGGGUGUGUUCCUCUGGUGUUGGGCCUGGCCUCUCCCAAGUCUUGAGCUGGCAGGGCUGGACCUGCAGGGCAGGGGUGUCUCAGAGGCCACAGAAUCUCCAGGAGCAGACCUGGUGAGCAGAAGGUUUCUGCCCUCCUCCCUGUACAUCCAACUGACCAGUUCCUGGUCCCCCCGAGCUUGGUGAAGCAGCUGGAGCUCCACGACCCCAGAGAGAAGUGGAACUGGGACAUGGGUGUGGUAUGGGGUCAUGGCCCCACACGGACCUGCGCUGUGACCCUGAGGAGCAAAGGGGCACAACAAAGCCAAAACAUCCUUCUCUCUAAAUUGGAAUAAUUCAAAUUUCAUGGACGGACUGCUCAGGGGAUAAGGAGCUGGUUGGAUGUACUACAUACAGGAUAGUGGUGAAGGGCUCAGAUGGAGCUCAGUGACAAAGGGGUGUCCCUCAGGGUCCAUAGCGGGACCAGUGCUUUUUAAUGUCUCCGUCAAUGACAAAGACAGCGGAGCCAAGGGCACCCUCAGCAUGCUGGCAGAUAACCCCGAGCUGAGCAGUGCAGGUGACACACCUGGGAGACAGGAUGCAAUUCAGGGGGCCUGGACAAAUUCCAGAAGUGGGCCCAUGGGAACCUCAGGAGGAUCAAGGCAGCCAAAUACAAGGUCCUGAACAUGGGUUGGGGCAACUUCAGUAUCAGUCCAGAAAUGAGCUUGUCCCUCACUUGUCCUUCUUCCACUCCAAGUCCUGCUAUCAAGCCCUUCAUUCCCAGAAUGGAUUGAGACUGGGGGUUUUCCCAACUCAUGUGCAGGACCUCAUGAGAUUCCCAUGGACCCACUUCUUGAGCUUGUCCAGGUCCUCCAGGAUGGCCUCAUCCUUUGGGUGCAUCACUUGUCCUGCUCAGCUUCCUGUCACGUGCCAACAGGCUAAGAGUGUGCUCAACCUCACCGUGUCCUUGAUAAGGUAUCAAAGAGCACUGGUCCAAGGCAGGACCCUGAGGUACACCACCCCUCACUGGACAUAGAACCAUUGACUACAACUCUGUCUGCAUCUGUUGGUUCAGUGUUGUCUCUUGUGACACCUCUCCAAAAUUGCCUGUCCCUCUCUUUGGGUUCUCUCCAAGGCUGGACUUGAUAAUCUUGUUGUUUUUUUCCAACCUUAACAAUUCUCUGGUUCCCUCAAUGCCUCUUUAAUCUGUUGUUUAGUUUCCACCAAGCUGUACUCAGGGCUUA
rnacentral:lncRNA from 13 species